GCCUUCGUGGUGUAAUAAAGCACACUCGACGCGUAUUCAAGAGAUCCCAGGUUCGAGUCCCAGCGAGGGCA
rfam:Stegodyphus mimosarum contig88270, whole genome shotgun sequence.